rnacentral:rRNA from 1 species
CCUAACACAUGCAAGUCGAACGGUAACAGGAAGAAGCUUGCUUCUUUGCUGACGAGUGGCGGACGGGUGAGUAAUGUCUGGGAAACUGCCUGAUGGAGGGGGAUAACUACUGGAAACGGUAGCUAAUACCGCAUAACGUCGCAAGACCAAAGAGGGGGACCUUCGGGCCUCUUGCCAUCGGAUGUGCCCAGAUGGGAUUAGCUAGUAGGUGGGGUAACGGCUCACCUAGGCGACGAUCCCUAGCUGGUCUGAGAGGAUGACCAGCCACACUGGAACUGAGACACGGUCCAGACUCCUACGGGAGGCAGCAGUGGGGAAUAUUGCACAAUGGGCGCAAGCCUGAUGCAGCCAUGCCGCGUGUAUGAAGAAGGCCUUCGGGUUGUAAAGACUUUCAGCGGGGAGGAAGGGAGUAAAGUUAAUACCUUUGCUCAUUGACGUUACCCGCAGAAGAAGCACCGGCUAACUCCGUGCCAGCAGCCGCGGUAAUACGGAGGGUGCAAGCGUUAAUCGGAAUUACUGGGCGUAAAG